UUCAAUUUUUUUGUCACUCUAUUUGAAUUGGACACCCUUUAGUUCAAGUCUAGAUUCGCGUAUCAUCUCCCAUCAACGACCAUGACGCCGUUUACAUUAACAUGGCCUUAUUUUUCUGCUUCGUUCCAUAUCACAUCUAUCGAUAAAUCAGAAGAUGGAUUCGAUGAUAUCGCAUUUAUCUACACUCAGUGUGAGUCCUUCGAUUCUUCCCAACAUAUUUAAUCACAAAGAAAUUCAUCUUAUUUCUAUUAGGUUUUUUUUUUUUGUUAUUAUCCUAUAUUUAUUAAUUUUUUCUGGUUAAUCACGUCACAAAUUGAGGUCGUUUUUUGAUUGUAUCUAGGAAUGUACACCAAGUGCUUGAUUAAAUGCCAUAGUGAAAUUUUGUGUCAAUAUAGCUUAAAAGCAUAGGUUGUUAUCGAUAAUGGGCAUUAUAAACAUAGAUUUUUACAAGCAUAACCUGUUAGGGAAAGUUAGAAGUACUAUACGAACCAAAUCAGUGUUAGAUUGGUUUUCUUGGAGACGUGUAAUUUUAUCAUACAUGAUUCAAAAAUUUGUAGCUAUGAGCUCUUGAAUUCUAACAGUUAUGAUAUUCUUCCAUCUGUGACACAAGGUGAUAUAUAUAGUUUGCAAUGGACACAAACUGCCAGACAAGUGGCAGUAAAGAAAAUGCUCUUCACCUUUACUAUGCCACCGACAAAAGUCAUGUUGUGUAUGCCCAGCCUGCAUAUUAAGGUGAAAAAUCAUGCUGGCUUUUUGAAGAUGAUCAGGGAAAGAAACAUGGUCGCCAUUCUCUUAUGGAACUUUAUUCUUGGCAUCAUUAUAGAUAUAUUCAUGGUUCAGUGAUGGUUAUUUGGGGAAGAAGAUAAGUUGUGCACAUAAGGUGCUCGAUGAAAUGCCUGAGAGAAACUCAACAUCAGGUGUUACUAUGGAGGUGGGAUGAUUGGCGAUUGGGCUCUCAUGUGCCCUGAAUUCAUUCAAGUAACUCAUCACCUCCAUGUUUCUUAUGAAUACUUUAUUCUUGCAAAGAGAGAAGAUAUCAUGGGGGAGUUUCUCAAGUAAAGUGAAAUCAACUAUUUUCAAAGAGAGAACCUUGAAGAGAAAAAAAAUGAUUAUUUUUAGAAUAAUGGUUUGUUAGCAAUUUAUUAGAAUAAUUAUUUGUCAUUUCAAGUCACUUUACUCAUUGUGUAUUUAUAUAUACGAUUUUUUUUAUGAACCAAACAUCCAUGAAUGGUAUGUGAUUAUUGAUCAUAAUAGAUGGUAUUUCCCA